rnacentral:lncRNA from 1 species
AAAACUUUUGAGAGCCCAAGGGACCCCUGCUUUGCAACACGCAAUUCCAUUGCAGCUAUCAUCAUCUGUCUUGUUUCUUGGAUCACAAAUAGAGAAGCAACCACCAAGAAUGAAGUCAUGAUCAGCUGAUGACAUUGAGGCAAGGUUGUUGCAGCCGAUGCCGGAGAAUAUAUUGUCAUAAUAUGAGAAGUAAAAAGGGAGCUUCUCCAGGUUUACAAAACUUGGUUCUUUAGUUUUAUCCUGACAAGAUCUGAUCACUGAUUGAUUUACUCUCAUUGUGCUCUUUUCAAGUAAGAAUUCAAGCACUUCUAGGUUGAUGCUUCUCAGGAUUGGCUUAUUGGAUCUGCAGUCUAUUGCAUAACGUUGAUCAAAGUAACAAUUUUCUCCAAUUCCGAAUGGAAAUGGAAUUGUAACAUUGUUUCCACAACUGUAUGGACAAUUUGGCUUCGUUAAAUGUGGUGUCGGUGGUGCUUUCGCUAUUGAUUUUAUUGGCCAUGGAAGCAGCAAUAUUAUAACUUGAAACAGCAACUGCAGAUUCAUUUUUCAAUCUGCUGUCACCGUUUUUUGCUACUGGUUGGGUUGGGGUUUUGGGGGGGGGUGGUUAGGUGGAGAUUUUAUCAGAGCAAAACAGAGCAGCUUCUCUGCUGCUUCUUAGAUGCAGCAGCCCUUUGAUUUACAAUCAAGUUGCACAGAACACUUGAAAAUUAAAAAAGAAAAGUAAUCCAAUCACCAAAAAGGAAUGGUUUUCCACAUGAUGUGAAAGGUGCAUCAAGACCAAUGCGACAUACUUUACACGUUGGAGAAUUAGACAAACGAUAUUUAAAUUGCGGAAAUUUGUGGUGCAAGUGUGGUACCGUACUACAGUUAUAUUCAUCCGUUGGAUGUCAAUAGACCCUAUUAAUUUAAGUGCAUCCAACGACUGGAUGCAACUGUAGCAGUUGCACUGUAACCUGAUCCUUGAAUUCAAUUAAUGCUGAUGUUUUUAAUUACAGUGAAAUUAUGGAUGCUGGUAGUUAUUAGAUUGGACUUAUUUAAUAAUUAUAAGUACUUAUUUAAUUUAAAAAAUUUUAAAUAUAUUUUUUUUACUGUUUUUAUAGUAGAAAUUUUAAAAUUUAAAUAAAUUAUAUUUAUUUCUAUUAACAAAAAUUUAAAUUUUAGGAGUAAAUAUUAAAAGAUUUUUUUUAAAUAUUAAAAUAUAUAAAAUUUCAUUUACUUAUUAAUUAUUUUAUUUUAUUCUUUUCAUACAUAAUAUAACUUUAAAAAUUUAUCUCUUAAAAUAAUUUUAUGAAUUUAUAAUAAAACUCUCAUUAACAACUAAAAAAUUAAAUUUUUUUAAUAAAAAUUUUAUUUAACAAAUUAUAUCAAACGGAGCUUAAGAUACAUACAUAAUGACUCUCCUAUGUUGCAACAGUUACAACAUACCAAAGUUUUUGUCUUCGUUCAAAGCUGCCAUUAGAUAUAAAAUGAGUUCAUCUAACGGUUGAGAUGGGUCAGUGGCUAAUUAAAAUAGUCGGUUGCUUCAAAGAGACUGUAUAAAACUAUAUAUUAAAUAAAUAAAGAUCCAAACACAGUACAGGUUCUGUUUUUGAUUUGUUUUGAGUGGCCCUUAUCGAAAUCUUAUCCAGAACCCAUAAAUUUCUGAAUUCUUUUCCACACAAAAUUUCGAUCAUCCAAAUCUUUUCCCAAUGGAAUCGCAGUCGUAUCAGGUGGAUGUAAUUCUGAAAUGAAUAUAGUUUUGUGCCAGGCAACUGCAGCCGACUUUGGGUGGAGCUGAAACUCUAGGAAUUAUGCAUAUCUGAUUAUCUGAGAAAAGAGUAGAAAGAUGGGUGUUUGAUCUGGUGAUGAGGCGUUCAUGAAUUCUCUCUUUUACUUCCUCUUCGAACUGUCUCGAUAUUGAUUCAUCAAUUUUGCAAGAUUCGGACUCCAUUACAACCCGACAUGUAGGUUUAUUAAUAAGAUCCAUGUUAUUUUCUAGAGAGAUUAGCGAAGAUUCUAACCAGCUUCGAGUUCUCAAGGUUGAGCUUACGCGCGUCCAUCGCCAUAGCUUUGUGAUCAUCGGCUUGGUUUCUGAUCUGUUCCAGCCGCGGCAUACAAAGGAUCUAAUUUUAGCGCUGAUACGGAUCUCGAAUAGAUCCGAUUCCGUACGAGCCUGAAUUCAAACCCUAAAUGAAUCACAAAAACAAACACUUGACGACAGAGUGCCUUUUUUUUCUUUUUUGUGCUUCUCACUGAACAAAAAAACAACCGGCUCGAACGGUUGUAAGUUGCUACUUCAAAUAUCUAAAAAAUAAUUUAAGCCGUUAGAUUAAGCUUUGAACCAUCUAAUGGAUACAUUGGAUAAGGACAAAAAGUGUGGUAUCCUACCACAAUUGCAACGUAGGUAAAUCCUGUAAUCAGAUAUCAAUCGUAAAUUACUAUAAACCAUCAGCCAAUUUUUUUAAAAUUCCAUUUUUUAUCUUAGUUUGAAAACUUUUGCCUAAUUUUUAGGCUUCUUUCCGGAUUUUUAAUUUUAUUUGUAGAACUUAAAAUUGCAUGCCAUUUUUUUUAUUCUUUUAUUUCAGGUAUUAGAAAUUUUUUAUAUUUAGGUGGCGUUUGUUUUUUAACUUAAUGACUUAAAGUGACUUAGCUUAAUUAAUUAAGUUAAUUAGAGGUGUUUUUUUUUAUAACUUAAUGAGACUUUUUAGAUAAUUUUGACUUAAUAAAAUAAGCCAAUUUUUUUAGUUUUUUACUUAAUGGAGAAAUUUGAAUUAGGUUAAUUACUUACUAAUGUAAAAAAUAUCCAUGUUUUAUAAUUUAUUUUUCAUGUCUAUCACAAAACUCACCCAUAGACAUUUACCCCACAUAAAAAUAUCCCUAUUUUUUCUUUCUUAUAUUAUAUAUGACAAAAUUUGAAAUUUAUGAUAUUUUAUAUAUUAAAAUUCCAAAAUAAUUAUGUAUUCACUUGAAUAUAGUUUUACUUAUAAAUGUUAAAAUAUUGUGGUAUUUAAUAUAUUAUUUAUUUGAUAUUCAAAUUUAAUAAGGAUACAAAUGUAAAAGUACAUAUUUUCAACUUUUUCAGUUAAAAAAAACGAACAACUUAAGAUUUAUUUUUCGAGAUUCAGAUAAAAAAACAAACAUAUUAUUCAGAUUCAUACAUUCAGAUCUAUUCAAAAUUCAGACUAAUUCAGGUCUAUUCAGAUUUCAGACAAAAAAACAAACGCCGCCUUAGUUUUGUUCUUUAUGAUAAUUUUUCAUUUUAUGUAUAGAAGUGAGUAAAACCGUAGUUUGUCAACAACUUUUUGUCAAUAAUCAAUUAUUUUUCCAAAACGUUGUGCUUUUACUAUUUUAUUUCCAUUUCGUCGCAAAACCUUCAAAUGAUUAGCGCAACUCAAAUCAGCACUGAAUUCAAAUUAGUUUAAAAAUUCUAAUUAGAUUUUUGUGCUGAUCUUUUCAUUACAAGUUGUGAUGAAUAGCUAUUGAAUAAGAAUAUAUAUAAAUAUACACUACUAUAAAUACACACGAGUCAACUUUAAAGAAUAGACAUCAUAUUUAAAUUGAAAUUAAAUAAUAAUACUAUUAUUAGUAUUUUAAUUAGUAGAUCCCACCGCACCUCCCACUACAAGAAUAUCGGUCCGUAACAACGGUGCUUUUAGCAACGAAAGUGUACAGUUUUAUUGACGAAAUAUUUUAUCGCUAAGAUCCUUUUUUCUUUUAGUGUCCCUUUUUUUUUUAUAUAUGAUUUUCUUUUCCAGCGAUUCCUUUUUUUCCCCACUUUAUUUCAUGAAACACUCGAUCAGACUUACUUUCUUCUGUUAUUUUAUUUUGUUUCUUCUAACAGUGGAACUAUGCCUCCACACUUUUCAAGUGGUCUACCUCUUUUUCCUACUUAGGGAUGAAUUAGUGGGUUAAAUUAAUAUUAACGAUUGCACUUGUUUUUAAUUAUUUAUGGUGAAAACAGCUUUCCAAAACUUUAUAAUAUGUGAUUUGUAAUAGGCAUAUUCGAUGCAAAACUAUAAGAGAACAAUGUACGUAUAGUUAAUGCAUUCAAUCCUACGUUGAACAAGUUUAUUAAUUUGACGAUAAAAAGCCUUUCAACAACUUAUAAAAAAUAAUUUUUUAGCAGGAAUUAUCUAUUAAUUUGAACUUCUUAAGACCAUAUAUAGUAGAUCUAGCUAGAAGCUUAUGAUUUAGGCUUAAUUAUUAGAUCAAAAUUUAAACUAAUAAAUAAUUUAAUUGCAUAUGCAUCCAAUAUGGGUUAUGUUCUUAACACCUCAUGAAUCUAGCUUAUGCUCAAGAUUUGAGAAUUACCUCAAAUUUAUUUAGUCCAAAAUUCAAUGUGACUUAAUAUCUAUAAUAUGUGUGAUAAUAUUUUUAAAAACCACAGGUAAAGAGAAUAUUCUAAUAUCAUAAGUAAAUGCAGCAAAGCAAAAAUAAAUGAGAAACUUCUAACCAAAUUUAUCAAAAAUCUUUAGACCACAUAGCACUCACAGAACUAUUGAAUUUAAAACCGCAUAUGUCUGCGCCAUGUCCAGAAAAAUGUAGAAUAAUCUGAGUUUUUAAAUCAGGUUAAUUAUUGGUUAUGCUCUUCCACUAGUGGCCAGCAUGUCUGUUUCUUAACUUAUCUAAAUAAUUAGAGCUUUUUACAAGCCAAUUUGCCAUAAGCCCAAUCAAAUGCACUUGAAACGAAUCAAAUCGUUGUUUAUUCCUUAGUGGGAAAAUGAUAUCAAUCAAGUAAGGAAAAUGGUAAAUAGACGAAAGCGCGACGAUGGGACGACAGAAACGGUAUCAUUGGCUGCCAUUUCACGCCUUUCCUCAUUCAAUUUUCUUUUUUUUGUGGGACCGACAACAAAUAAAAAAUAAAAAAUAAAAAAUAAAAAAUAAAAAAUAAAAAAUAAAAAAAUCUCAAAUAUCUUUAUUAUUUGAAAUCUGAUCCACUUACUCUCAUCCUCAACUACUCGUUCUCCACUCACUUUGUCCCCUCUACUCAUUCUCGUUACUUACUUUGUUCCUUCCACUUGUUCUUCACGUGUUCCUUUCUCCACUCGUCCCGUUUAACCUUCUCUAUCUCUCAGUCAUACAAAAUUAAUAUUUUGUAUCAAUUUUUGUUAAAUAAUUAAAAAAAAUAAUAUUUUGUGAUUUGAGUUCUGUGAUAUAUUUUAUUUGUGUAUGAUAGUUGUGUGAAAAGAAUAAUGAUAAUUAUGUAAAAAAAAAAUUAAUUACUUGAUUUGUGAUAAUUUUUGUGAGAUAAGUUGAUUUGAGAAAUAUUGUAUUAAUGCUUAAAUGCAUCAAAUUUUUGGCUCUGAAAUGCACCAAAUUUUUGCAUAAUAUUUGAUUUGAAUAUUAAUUUUGCAUUUUGCAUAAUUUUUAAUUUAAAUGCAGAUAUUGAUCAAUUUAUACCUAUUAAGAAAGGACAAAAUUAUUGUUAUGUAUGAAUUGUAAUCUUUAACCGUAAGAAGGAAGGACAUUUCCCUUUGGACCAUAUGCAUGUCUAGAGAUAUUAUGUGUAUCAAAAGAAACAACAAUAAUGCAAUGAUACACAAGUCGCUAAAUCUAACAUAUAUCAUUGAUCCAUUACUACAAUUUAAAGCCAAAAUACAAGUCAAGCAUCAUGAUUGUUAUCUUCAUUACACUGCUGCUGUAGUAAUUGUUGGAAAUUCUCAUUUUGCGAUCCUUGAUAGGUCAUUGAAGGAGAAGACUAAUAAAUACACAUUUUUUCAUAUAUUUCUUGCUUAGAUGGACAAAUUCUGUACAUUAUAACUAACUUUCAUCUUACUAUAGCACCUCCUCACAUCUUUCCUCCACCUUGAUAAAAUGUAUACUUCUGGAAGUACUUCAACUGAGUUACGUAUCAACACUGCAAAGGCAUGUCUAUAAAGAAUUCCCUUAAAUUGGAACUUUGAACAGAUACAAUUAACUUCACACUCAGCUUCUUCAAAAUCAACCUCAAAGAUUUUUUUCUUUCCUUGCCCAUAUAAUUCACUUAUUUUAUAUAUUGAUCCCAUAUUCCAAUAUAUCACAAUGCAUUAGUGCAGUUAAUUCUUGUUGGAAUUCUUUGAACUUAGAAAUGAUGUACACCUCUUUAACUUGCUUGCCAUUCUAAUUCAGCUUUCCUUCUCAAUGCAUUUUCAUAUUGCUUCACAAACUGCUUCAAAUUUGUUUUUGAGUUAACAAAACCAUCAAAAAAUGCAUUCAUACUUUCACUUCGCUGAGUAGUUAACAUUCUUGCCCAAAAAUAGUCUUUUAAAUAGCAUGGAACCCAAUGAUACCUCUCAUCGUAUAAACCAUUUAACCAGUCAUUAUCCCAUAAAUCAUAUUCUGUAAUCAUGUCAUGCCAAGCUUUCUCGAACGCAGUAGAACCUAAUGAAUCAUAAACAGCAGAAAGUAGCGAAGAAAUAAUACCUUCACAUUCUUUAAACGCCUCUAACUUCUCAGGCACCUUCUUCAUUAUAUGCCAUAAACACCACCGAUGCCUAGUAGUAGGAAAAACAUUUUCAAUUGCCUUUUGCAUUGCCUUGUCUUGGUUUGUAAUAAUACCAAGAGGAGGAGAAUCAGACAUGCAUGAUAGCCACGCCUCAAAUAACCACAUAAAUGUCUCAGUAUUCUCACGUGAAAUCAAUCUACAUCCUAACAAAUUAGACUGGUCAUGGUGAUUAACUCCGACAAAGGGGGCGAAUGACAUGUCAUACUUGUUGGUUAGAUAUUUAGUGUCAAAUGUGAUGACAUCUCCAAAAUAUUUGUAAGCUACUCUACUCCUUGAAUCUGCCCAAAAUACAUUUUUUAAUCGAUCCUGCUCAUCCAAAUCAAUGCUAAAAAAAAAACCCCUUACAUUUUGCUUGCUUUUUCUGGAAGAACUUCAAAAGUGCCAUAGCAUCUCCUUCUCUAAGCUAUAAUCGCCUUGUUUUGUCAACAAAAUUUCUGCAAUCUUUUUCUAAGAACGAGACAUUUUCAUGCCCACCAGCUUCAACAACAAUAGAAUUGAAAUUUUGGGCAAUUCUAAUUCCUACACAAUCAUUCAUUUCAAUUCGCUUUUUAACACUUGCACUAAUUCUAUGAUUGCAAGGGAAAUACCUAGCUUUGUCUGGACUCAAUCCAUUGAAAUACAAGUAUGCAACCCAAGAGGGGGGGUGAAUUGGGAUUCUAAAAAAUUAUUCAAUUUAUUAAAGAAAAUCUUAAUGCAAUUAUAAAUCAAAUUCAAAGCAAUAACAAUUAAGAUGAUCACAAUAUAAAAAGAUAAGGGAAUAGGGAUUCAAACACCGAGAUUUUUACGUGGUUCGGCCAACCUCGCCUACGUCCACGCCUCCAAGCUUUCCGGGCUUGAGGAUUCCACUAAGCAAGCCUCCAAGGCUUCAAAUGCUUACACUUGACUUCCAAGGUGUCAAUGGACCUUUACAACAAGAGAUUAUCCCCAAUCUCUUAACCCAAGUGUAUCCCAACACUUACAAUUACUCAAAGUAAAAGAUUACAAACUGUUUUGCCUCUCACAAUAUAUAAGAUUACACAAUGAUGCUUAAUAUGUGAAUAGAUGAAGCAAGAAUGUGUUCUAAGCUCUAUGAAGAUUGUAUUCUCGAAUAUUAGCUCAAAUGGUCGUGUUGUGAUCAACCUGCUUUGAAUUUGAAUGAGCUUAUUUAUGUCUGGAGCUGAAAAUCUAGCCGUUACAAACUGUCGGACGGAAAACGGUUCGCCGUUAACUAUAAACGGUUAACCGUUUCAGUUGGUCAAAGUUACCGUUGGGCCAGAUUUCAAAUAAACGGUUUGCCGUUUGUAAUUAACCUUUAGCCGUUAACUACCAGAGACCUGCAAGAUGAGCAUUUGUUAUCCGUUUACGCUAAACGGUUAAGGACUUGCGUGAAGUGGCUUCUCUGGACAUUAUCGGUUAACCGUUUGAUAUAAACGGUUCGCCGUUUGUCUCCAGUAACCUGCAAAACAAUUUAGCCUUAUCAGUUUUCGUUAAUCAGUGCCAGAGGAGGACAACCUUCAAUUCUGGACAUUAUCGGUUAACCGUUUAAAGUAAACGGUUCACCGUUAAGUUCCAGUAGCCUUUCCAUUCUUGGUGAUUUCCGUUUUUCAUAAACGGUUAGAGCUUUAGGCAUUAUGUCGAUCUCUGGUGUUAAUCGGUUAACCGUUUAAAAUAAACGGUUCACCGUUAAGUUCCAGUAACCUUCCCAUCUUUUGUGUUUUCCGUUUUUCAUAAACGGUUAGAGGUUUAGGAAAUAUGUUGCUCUCUGGCUGUUAUCGGUUAACCGUUUAAAUAAACGGUUCACCGUUUAUAACCAGAAUUGCAUUUUAAACCAGUUUUUGCAGAGAAUCUUUUUCUAAUUUUAAAGUCCAUCUUUUAUGAAGCAUGAAGGAAUGAUUACUAAGGCUCUCGUUUAUUAAGAAAUAGCUCCAAUACUUUUAUCAAAAAUCAUUUAAAAUUUGUUAUCAUCAAAAUCAAUAUUAUUAACAUAUUUAUGUUAACAUCCAUGGUUGUGUUGAAGAUUUAAAAUUCGAAAAACCUAUUUUCCAUCUUCAUUUAGACAAUCUCCAAUUUUUGCAUCACAACCAUUUUUCACAUUAGGUUUCGACUUUAAUGCAUUAGCAGAUUUACUUUAUGACUUGCCGCUACGACCACAUGCAAAUAUCGCAUAUUUGACAACCUUAUAAGUCCCUUUCUUAGUACUUUGAACCUUCACAGGAAACCCUUCUUGUUUACCACAGGCUUUGUAAAAUGCAAACAUUUCUUCAUGACUAUCGAAUAACAUUCCAAGAGUUGGCUCAUAUUUUCGAUUGCACAAUUCCAACUGCAUUGCCGACUCCUAUUUAUUGUAACUCUUCAAAUGAAUGCCCAUUUUCCAAAUUCUCCAUUUCUACAAAAUAAUUAACAUUUGUAUUAAGAAUAAGUAAUUAUAAAUUUUUAUUACAUUUUUGUCCAGUAACAAAAAUCCUAACAAUUUAAAUAUACAAAACACAUCCACAAUUUUUUAUAAAUUUAUUCCGUUCCAACAAUCUAAAUUAAAAAAAAACCUUUCAAUUUAAAUAUAUACAACACAUCCAAAAAAAAUUUAUAAUUUACUCCAUCAUUUCCAGCAAUUAAAAUUAAAAAAAUCCUAACAAUUUAAAUGUAUAAAACACAUGAAGAAUUUGUUAUAAAUUUAAUACAUUACUUUCUAACAAUUUAAAUUAAAAAAUUCUAACAAUUUAAAUGUAUAAAACGAUUGAAAUUUUUUUACAAAUUUAAUACAUUACUUUUUAUCAAUUCAAACUAAAAAAAUAAUAACAAUUUAAACAUGUAAAACGCAUGCAUCCAAGAAUUUUUACAAAUUUAAUCCUUCACUUUCUAACAAUUUAAACUGAAAAAAACUAACAAUUUAAAUAUAUACAACACAUCCAAAAACUAAUUUUAUUUUAACAUGAUGGGAAAGUGAAAGUUACCAAUUAUCCGGCUACAAUUUCAUCAUCGUUGUUGGUGACUAACUGACUUCUCACUAACAUUUUCACUUUAUGUGUUUAAAUUCUCUAAGCUUUAUUAUGUGUGUUUUAUUAUGAUCUAAGUAUUUUAUGUAUUUUAGGAAUAUUUUGGAUAUUUCAUGAUAACGAGAAGUCAGUCAGUGAAACGGAUGGCAUUUUUAAACUUGGAACGGUCGAAAACCUUAGGAGGAACAUAAAAGGGUAUUCGGUUCUAUUCACGUAUACGGUACUAUUCACAAGUACGACACUGUUCACAUAUAUAGUACAAUGAUAUGGAAUUGACCGACGAUGUGGUAGGAUGCUAUUGGAUCAAAACAUUUAUUUGAUGUUGGCCAAUGACGUGGCAACAUCUUAUUGGACCGAAAUGCUGAUGUGGUGUUGACUAAUAAUGUGUUCUAAUCAAUCAAAAUUUGCCACGUGGCGCAAUCUUGAGCAUUCGAAUUGUUUUCAUCCAAUGGUCAUGAUUUACCUAUUGUAUCUAUAAAUAGGGGGCUCCUCCUUAAUAUGACAUCCCUGAAUCCAUUUUCGAGCUCCAUUUUCUAUAAUUCUCUCUCUAUCUUAUAUUUUUUUACGUAUUUUAAUAAAGUUAUCAUUUUACCCCUAAUUCAAUUAUAAAUGGCUAGUUUAGUUUCAAGGUUAGGUUGAAGGUGAAGCCUCAACAUUAUCCAUGAACUUAAUUAGGUAAGUUUAUUUUCUUUUCCUCUCUGAUUUAUGUGGUUGUUUUGACUCAUUGUAGACAGAUAGUAUAUCUUGUCUAGAUUUUGCACGAUAUAUCGACUCUCUAGUGAAUGAUCGUUUCUAUUUUGCGUAAUGAGCACUUAGCACCAUAUUAAUUAGAGAUAAAAUUCCCCUAUAGUAUUUUGUGAGUCGCCUUGACUCAGUGUCGAUAGAGAGUAUAUAUAAGCUAUUUAGUGGAUGGUCUUAUCACUUUGUCGACAGAAUGAUUAUUAUCGUCUCGCACAACGUGUUUUUGACACCACACUUAUUAUCUCUGGUUCUUGAUACCAUAUUUAUUAGAGUGAUGAUUAUGAUGAGUGGAAAUAACCCUCUCAUGAAUUAAUUGGAAUUAAAAAAGGAAAUAUUAAGUCUAUGGUGAAUGUUGAGUGUGAAUCUAAAGACUUAAGCGUUUCAUUUGCAUUACUUUCAUCUUUAGUUCAUUCCCGCCAUUUCAUUUUAAAUUUUAAGAAAAAAAAUUCUUCCAACGAACUCACAUAUACACCUAGAAAAUUAAUCCUACAUAUAAUUAAAUCUACCUCUUUAUGAGAUCGACACUCGUCAACAUAGAAUCUAUUAUACAAUAGAUUUGCACUCUUUCGAGUACAAUAAAAUUUACACAACACUGUCACUACCUUGGUCAAUAUAUCUAUGGGAUUAUCUGUACUCUUGAUUUUCUAAAGAAGAAUCUUCCCUUCAUCAAUAAUUUCUCACACAAAGUGAAAUUGUACAUCGAUAACUUGAUUCUUUGCUCAGUGAAUAGUAAUUUGACUAUUGCAAUACACAUUAACAUGUUCCUGAACUAAUCCCAAGUUUUAAAGCAGGCUUGUAACCAAAUAGCAUUUUUAACAACCUCUGUAAUUGUUAUGAACUCGACCUCUAUGGUCAACAGUACAACUGUAGAUUGUCAUUUAGACUUCCAACUAAUUGGCCUUUCAGUAAAAGUAAAUACAUAUUCGGUGAUUGAUCGUCGUUUUUCUAAAACACCAGCAUAAAUCAGAAUCAAUGUGUCCUAUCACACCUUGACUAAGUGUAUCAUCCCGCUCAAAUAAUAAACCAACAUCCACGGUCUUCUGAAUGUACCGUAGAAUACAUUUCACAGCUUGCCAAUGUCUUUUACCAGGAUUAUGCAUAUACCUACUCACUAUACCAGCUGCAUGUGAAAUGUCAGGCCUUGCACAUACCAUUGCAUACAUCAAGCUACCCACUGUAUUUGAACACGGAACUUAUAACAUGUAUUCUCGUUCUGCAUCUGUAAAGAGAGAUAGUUGUGUAGAAAGUUUGAAAUGAGAAGCUAAUGGGGUACUCAUAGGUUUUGUCUGCUCAGUCAUGUAAAACUAUUGUAGUACCUUUUUCAAAUAUUGGUUCUAAAACAAGCUGAGUUUGCCACGAGCUCGAUUUUUGCGUAUCUCCAUGCCGAGACUCUUCUUAGCUUCAUCUAGUUCGUUCAUCUCAAACUCUUGACAGAGUUGAGUCUUCAACUUUUCAAUCUAAUCUUUGCUCUUGGAUACUAUUAGUAUAUCAUCAAUAUACAAGAGUAAAUAUAUGAAGGAUCCUUCUUGUAACUUAUGAAAAAAUAUACACGAUGAUCAAAUUUAUUUCUUGUGUACCUUUGCCCUUUCAUAAACCGAUCAAAUCGCUUGUACCACUGCCUCAGAGAUUAUUUUAAUCCACAAAGUGAUUUUGUCAAUUUGUGAAAUUAAUUUUCUUUUCAAGCAACCUUGAAUCCAUUUGGAUGAGUCAUGUAGAUUUCCUCUUCCAAAUCAUAUUGUAAAAAUGUAGUUUCCACAUCAAGCUAAAAUAAUUCAAGAUCAAAUUGCGCAACCAUGGCCAGCAAAAUUCGAAUAGACGAGUGUUUCACAACUGGAGCAAAAUACUUCGUUGCAGUUUAUUCUUUCUUUCUGAGCGUAACCCUUUGCUAUCAAUCUUGCCUUAUAUCAAAUUUCAUUCUUAUAACGAAAUCCUUCCCUCUUUGCAUAUACCCAUUUGCACUCAAUUGUCUUCUGUUCCUUGAGCAGUGUAACUAACUUCCAAGUUCUAUUUUUAUUAAGAGACUGCAUUUUUUCAUCCAUUAUUCUCUUCCACUGUACAUUUUUCGGGUUACUCGUUGUUUCUCUGUAAGUGGAAGGAAGAUCAUCAUUUACAAUCGAAAGUGUAUAGGCUACCAUAUCAACAUAGCGAGCAAGUUUACGAAUUUCUCUGCGUGGCCUUGUAUGUGCAAUUGAAUCUUGUUGUUGUGAAGGUUCUUGGGCCAGAACCUCUUUUUAUCUUCGGUCAAUAAAGAAUCACUAUUUAUUUCCUCAACAUUGGCUGGAUCAUUUUUAACAUUUUCAAACUUUACCUGCUGCAAAGUACCACUGGUUUUGUUAUCUUUUUGCAAAUCUUUUGUUUCAACAUGACUGAUUAAUCAAAAGUCACAAUUUUACUUAAAAUAAUCUUAUUUGUAAUAGGACAUCAGAGACGAUAUCAUUUUGCUCCACUAGUUAUACCCAUGAAUAAUUUUUUCUUUGCUCUUGGGGCUAACUUAGAUUCUUUUAUAUAAUAAUAAGCAGUGGAAUCAAAAUCAUAUAAAGAAUCAUAAUCAACAGUUGGUUUACCAGUCCACAUUUGUAUGGGUCUUUUGCCCCUAAUUGCAACUGAUGACAAUCAGAUGAUCAGAUAGCACGCAUAUACAAUUGCCUUAGCCUAAAAUUCUUUGGACAACAUGAACCAAACUUUCUCUAAUAUAGUUUGGUUCAUGCGUUCUGCCACCCCGUUCUGUUGUAGAGUAUCUCGAACAAUAAAGUGUCUCACAAUACACUCAUCUUGUCAUCCUAUAGAAAUAAAUCAUUCUUAUACUCACCAUUAUUGUCUGAGUGAAGUCUCUUAACCUUUGACUAGUCUGAGUCUCAACCAUCUUCUUCCAUUUCAGAAACGUGCUUAAAACUUUAUUCUUUUUCUUUAUUAAAUACACCCCACACUUUUCUCGAAUAAUCAUCAACAAAAGUAACAAAAUAGUACAUACCUCUCAAAGAAGCUAUGCUGGUAGGUCUCACACAUCAUUGUGAACAUAGUCUAGAAUCCUUUUUGUAGCGUGAAUUGUUGAACUAAACUUUAUCUUUAUCUGGUUGCCUAGAACAAAAUAUUCAUAAAAUUCUAAUUUGCAAGAAUUUGCACCUUUCAAUAAGCAUUGCUUUAUUAAAGUGUGCAAAACUUUUUCACCAGCAUGUUCUAAACGCAUAUGCCACAACUUGGUUGCUUCUGAAUCUGUAUCUUUUCCAGAGACUAUUGAUGCUUAUCCAAUAACUGUACUUUCUUGGAAAUAAUACAAGUUAUUUUUUCUUGUGUCUUUAAUCACCGUCAGUGCACCACGUACUACCUUUAAGAAUCCAUCUUUUAAAGUGAUUGUGAGCCCUUUAGAUUCUAGGACUUCUAAUGAGAUGAGAUUUGUCUUCAAGCUUGGUACAUAGCGUACAUCUAUCAAGAUUUAGAUUGAUUUGUCAUGAUUAUUCCAUUGGAUUGAACCUAUUCUCAUGGAUUUAUAAGCACUGUCAUUGCCCAUAAAAACAACUCCACUGUCCAGCUCUUUGAAACUAGAAAAUAAGUCCUUAUUAGGACAUAUAUGAUAAGUAUAACCUGAAUCCAAAAUCCACUCAUUUCAGUGACAUGUUAAUGUCAUGCCAACCAAACUAAAGUUUGUAUCCUCAUCAUGUUUUGGUACACAUGCAUUAGAAAUAGUCUUACCCUUUUGUAACUUAGGACAAUUAUUUUUCCAAUGCCCUUUCUUACAAUAAAAACACAUUAAUCUUUGGCAGACCUCCCUUUAAAUUUGCUCCUUUCUAGGUUUACAGCUUCGUGAACGGCCUUUUGUUGCCAAUGCUUUUACAAUUAUAUCUCUACAAUCCUUUCUGUCUUUUUUUAUAGUCUUAGAGUUGUACAAUGCACUGCACACAACAUCGAAUGUGACACUAUCCAUCCCAUAAAGCAAAGUGGUGGUGAGAUUGUCAUAUUUAUCAGGAAGAGAAUUUAACAAUAAUAAAGUCUUAUUUUUAUCUUUAAAUUUCUCAUCUAGAUUUGCUAAACCGCCAAUAUCUUGUUGAAUGAGUUUAUAUGGUCAUUCAUCGACAUACUAAAUGCAUAUGUAAAUCAAUAAAUUUUUUUCCUCAUAUAUAACUUAUUUUCAAGGCUUUUCUUUGUGUGUUUUUCUUCCAGUGUCUUCCAUAAUUUUUUUACCAAUGUCUCCUUUAUGACAGAAUAUUUCUAAUAUUUAGCCAGACAGAGACGAAUAUACCACAUGUCUGUCUAUUAAUCUUUGUCUACUCAUUUGCAUCUAUCUUGUCAAGCUUUUGCUCAAGAGCAAGCUCCAACUCUUAUUGAUAUAAGACAUGCAAAACCUCAUAUUGCCACAUACAAAAAUAAUUGGUAUUAUCAAAUUUCUCUAAUUCAAAUUUUGUAUUAAUUACAGUAGUCAUCGCUGAUAAAGACGACGAUAACGAUGCCUCUGCCAUCCAUCUUAACCCAAUUGACCAGUGCCUUCAACAACUAUUUAUACUUGAAAGAAUAACCUUUAUGAUUUUAAUUUUGCGUGAAUAAAUACACCAAGAAAGUUCCCAGUAUGGAGGAGUCAUAACGAUUCCACUUAAAACACAAAAUCCUUAGGCUCUUAUCGUCUUAUUAACAAAACUUUCCUAGACAUGCAAAUAUACACACUACUUACAAUAGACUAUUUCCCAAGCAAAAUGGCCGUCUUCACCGUAUCGGUGAACAGUAUCAUAUACGUUAACAGUACUAUAUCUAUGAAUAAUACCAUAUACGUGAACAAUGACUAGUACCGUAUACCGAAGUGAAUAGUGACCGUAUUUAUGAAUAGUACGAUAUAUGUGAACAGUGACAAGCAUGACCCUUCGACUCUGAUACCAAUUGUUGUAGAAGCGCGGGUUGAGCAAAUAUGUGAAUAUUACGAUAACUGCGACUUAUGGAGAAAUAUAAAUGUGGUGAUAAACAAAUGCAAUGAAAAUAUGACACAAUAAUUUACGUGUUUCGACGUAAAGUCUAUGUCCAUGAACAAAGAUUGGAAGAUAAUUUCACUAAUAAAUGGGACUUUACAAAAGUGGAAAAAACUUUCAAAACCUAAUAACUCAAUGCAUCCAAAUGGAUCCUCACUAGAGCACUCAAGUAGAAGCUCUCUCAAAUUACUUGACUUCCAAUUAUUCUCAACCUUACAAUUUGGAUUAUUUAAAACACUUCCACUCCUCUCUAUUUAUAGACAAGUAAUGCUUACCUAUCGUUUUCCAAAUUGGCAACAAUUUGCCUAAUUGGCAAAUGGAGUUUAAAAAAAAAGGUCAGCUUUGGUGGGCAUUGAAAUCUUCAUGCAUGUAUGGCUUCAACUUGUCAAAUAUUUGUGCCACCAACCUCUAAUUUGUCAAGCCAAAUUGUAUGGAAAAAUCAACUUUGUGGGCACCAAAUUCGAUGCCCAAAAGACUGAAUUUUCAACACCUUUCCUCAUAAAGACCCCACUCUGUUUAUAUAAAUUCAACAGUAUGCAUCAAUAAAAUACAAGAGUUAAUGUCUUGUUUGGUAUUAAGAUGUUGUAAUCUUUAAAAUUAAUAGCAUACAGUAAAUAUAAUUUUUAAAUACUAAUUUUUGACAAAAAUAAUAAAAUAUUAUCAGUUUUUCAUUAUAUAAGUACAAAAUCAACUCAACCUAACUUUCGAGUUACAACAAAUAAUAUUUAUCAAAUACUUUAAUUCUAUAGUUCUUAUAAUAUAACUGCCUAGUCUCAAUACCAAAAAAGGAUUGAAUUAUUAUAAAGAUCCAAAAGCAUAAUAUAUUCAUAUAAUAUUAUCAGUUGUAAUUAAGCAACUCACUUGACUAAGAUGAACAAAUGUUUCUUGAUGAGUCCAUCGAUCUCAGCUCUUAUUCCUGAGGAGCACUCAUUGGCUGUGCGUAGUCAACUAAAAUGACCCGCUUAGACAUAAGGGAAUCAUAGUAAUUCUCAUGACCAAAACAUCGGUGUGCACUUUGGAACAUAGUAUAUACUAGGCUAGAGCAGCCUGCCAAACACAUCUGAGUAGUUAAUACAACAACAACUGUUACUUUAAUACAAGACUCUUAUUUCCUCUCCUAAUUAAAAAUUAGGUAGAGGUAGGCAUCUUCUUCAAUAAUUUGUCCAUGGAGUUGAUGUCUCUCUAAUAUUUAUAAGAAUAAGAAGUUGGAGUGAUUAUUAUAUUACUAAUUUAUGUAGUGCUCGAAAAUAACCAAUAUAAUAAUUGGUAUAUUAAAAGUCCAACACCAAUUUCAUGAUCCAAUCCAUCUACAUUAGUCUAAGCCCAAGUUCAAAGCUCAAUCCACGGAAGAUUCAAGAAUUGUGUAGAGGUUGUGAGAUAUUUCUAACCUAAAAAUAUCUAAUGGUGCUAAAAAAAAUCUAAUUCUAGAAAUCUCUUGGAUAUUUAGAGAUAUUUUGUAAAAUAUGGUCAUCAAUUUUUUGUAAUUUAAUAUUCCGUGGUUUGUAUUAGUUCUACGAUACUAUAAAUAUCCUAAGCUCUUUGUUGUAGGCAUCAAGUGAGAAGUGAAGAAUUAGAAGAGAGAAAGAAGAGUGAGGGUUGAGUGUUGUAGUGUUUCUUAUGUAAAAUAUCAACAAAGUUCUUCAGUUUAGUAAAAUUAUGUUGCCCAAAUAGUUUCAGUUUUAUACAGUUUAGUCCUCCUCUGUGAAGUAUAAUACAUGCAAAGAAUGUAUCGAGGAGGUUUUGGGCCGAAGGUAUAAAGAUAGUAACUCAUAUGAUCAAUAGACUUCCUGAACCAAAAUUAGUAUUCAUAUCACCUUAUGAGAAGUUGUGGAAUGUGAAGCCUAUAGUCAGCCACUUUUGUGUAUCCAGAUGUGUGUGCUUUGUUUUCAUGCCAAGCUACUUGGAAACAAAUUUGACAAGAAGGCAAUACGUUGUAUCUUUUUCAGAUAUGACUGCUAGAGAAAAUGAUGGAGGUAUUGUGAUCUUACAAGUGGACAAUGUUACACAGCACAAAAUAUGGUGUUUGAUGAAGUAUCUUAGUAGUGGUCUUAAAAAAAAAAAGAUAUACUAGAUUUAAAAGAAAUUGAAGAUCAAAUAAAGGAACGAAUUGCUGAAAUCUGCCCAAGUAAAGAAGAAUCUAAAGAUUAUAUGAUCCAAGGGAUGAUGAUAUCGAGCAUGAUAAGACACAAGUUCCUUGGAAAAUAAGUGUUCACCAGAUCCCUAUUGACGACGAAGAACCAAGUGAACCAGAACCAAGAACCCCUAAAUUUCAACUUAAAGAUUCAAAAGAGUAAGGAAGCCAAAUCUCAAGUAUGCUAAUAUAGUGGCUGCAGAAGAAGAAAAAAUAAAAGAACUUGAGACGUUUGAAGAAGCAAUAGAAAAUUCUCAUUGGAAGAAGGCGAUGGAAGAAAAACUUACUGCACUGAAGUAAAAUUAGGCUUGGGAUCUAGUUCUGAAACCAAAGAGUACAAAACUGAUAUCUUGCGAGUGGGUGUUCAAGAUUAAGAAGUGCCUAGAUGGUUCAGUUGAAAAGUAUAAGGCUCAAUUGGUAGCUUGAGGAUUCUUAUAAUGAUACGAGCUAGACUAUGAUGAAACAUUUAGUUCGCUGGAAAAGCUCACAACACUAAGAGUUUUACUUGCAUUCACAGUGAGUAAGGAAUGAAAAUUAUGGCAAAUGGAUGUAAAACAUGUCUUCCUACAUGGAGAAUUGGAUCAAGAGAUCUAUAUAAACAAACUGAGAGGAUUUGAGAAUCAAGCUCGUCCAGAGUAUGUAUACAAGCUGAGAAAGGCAUUUUACGAUUUAAAGUAAGCACCAAGGGCAUGGUAUGAUAAGAUUUGCUGAAUUUCUAACUCAAAGUGGUAAUUGAGUAGCACAUGCAGACUCUAGCUUGUUUGUUAAAACCAAUGAAGGAAAUUACCAACUAUACUGAUGUACGUUGAUGAUUUAAUUCUUUUUUAUGAUGAUGAAAAAAAGAUUCGGUGAACAAGGGAGAACUUAUAAAUUCAUUUUCAGUUGAAAGAGCUUAGUUAGUUUAAGCACUUCCUUGGUCUGGAGGUUGAUUAAACAAAAAAAGGGAUAUUUCUUUGCUAGCAGAAAUAUGCCAAAGACUUGCUGAAUAAUUUCAAAAUGUUAGAAUGCAAGCAAAUUUCAACUCAAUAGAGGUCAAUGCAAAAUUGUGCACAUGAAGGUAAAUAUUUACAAGAUGGAAUUAUAUAUCGACAAUUGGUAUGUAGUUUAAUCUACCUAAUGCUGAUGCAACCAAACAUUUCAUAUGUAGUAGGUGUAAUAAGUCGGUAGAUGCAAAAUCCAAAGAAACCUCACAUGGAAGCGGCUCGAUGGAUACUAGGCCAUGUGAAAAGUACAAUCGACUACAGUGUAUUGUGUAAGAAAGGUGAAAGUUACAAGCUGACUGGCUAUUAUGACGCUCACUACACCAGAGAUCAUAAUAUAAGAAGAUCAACUACUGGGCAUGUUUUCAGAAUUGGAAUUGAAGUAAUUUCUUGGUGUAGUAAGAGACAACCAACUAUAUCACUAUCAACCACAGAAGUGAGUAUAGAGCAGCCACGAUAGUAGCUCAAGAAAGCACUUGGUUGAUGCUGUUGAUGAAGAAUCCUCACAAACCAGGAGAUAACGCAAUAGUAUUGUAUUAUGAUAAUCAAUCGGCAAACAACUAGACUAAAAAUCUAGUUUUUCAUGCAAGAAUUAAGCAUGUGGAGGUCAAUUGUUAGAGUACAAUUUAUACACUAGUUUUGCAUUAUUUACUUCCUUUAAUAUCGAUGUUUUGCACUUAAUAAUAGUGAUUUACUUGUGUUUUAUUUUUAUAGGUGCAAUUCUAUUGAUUGGUGCUAAAAUUGAGCUACAAGAUGAUGUUUGAGGAUGAUUGUUUUCUUGGAGAAAUUAUGAGCUUGAGAAGAACUUUGUUGAUAAGGCGUGGGCGCGUGCUGUCAACUAUGGACCUGUAGUUUUUAGUUUAACGUGUUUUGUAUUUCUGGUUAUUUUUGUAAUUACGAAUUUAAUAUUUAGAUAAUAUUUUAGAUAUUAGUAUUUUAUUUUAAAAAGAACUCUAGAGGAGAAGAGAGAGAAGAGCAUUUAAGGGAGGAAUCUAUUGUGAAGAGAGGAGAUUUUUGAAAAUAAAGAAACCCUAUAUCUAAAUUUUUCUCUUCUCUCUAUGAAGAACUAAACCUAUUAUUUUGGUUGAAGGUUAAUGAAGCUUUGAUUCAUCAUAACUGUGUGAUCUUUCUUAUACUUUAAUUGUUUUAUUACUUUUUGGGUAUUUGUUUAUUCUCUGAAUUAUUGUCAUGAUUAUGUUUGUUAAUUAGAUAAUUGGCCACUAUUUAAUUAUCAACUUAAUCUAUUGUCAAUUAAAAGAUUCAUCAUAUGAAUAUUUUAAUGUUUGUGACAAAUAAAAUAGCAGUGCGUUGUGUUAUGAGAAUAAACAAUCUAAUUUAAAUGAACCAUCGUAUGCGUUUGUUGAUUAGGAUUUGGGUCUCUUUGGUUUUUCAGGCUGUCAAUUGAUUAAAUCCUAUGAUCAUAUCUAGGGCUGUCUAUUGAUUAGGGAAAUAACCAACGGUCGUACCUUAGUUAUCGACUAGUUAAGGAUAGAUUGGCUAUUAAAGGGUCUCAGUAGUUAUAACCAGUCUAUUCAUAAGUAGUAAUAAUUUAUAUUUGAAUCAAUGAUUAGUAGUCGAAUCAAGCUGAGUUAAUUCCUUCAACCAGAGCUUUCCCCAAUUUGAAUUACAAUUUGAAUUUGUAUUCUUGUUAUUUUAAUUUGAUUUUUAUUAUUGUCAAAAAAUCCUUCAUUUUGCAUUUUACAUUUUAAAAUGAUUUAAAUAAUUACCGAUCUCUGUGGAUACGACCGUGUUCAAUCACUAUACAUAAUUUAUUUAGAGUAGAUAUUUAUUUUUGAUGGCUUCGACAACCAUCAUCCAUUAUCACUUUAUCAGGGAAACAUUAUUACAAGAUGAAAUUGAGAUGUGGUACGUCAAGACAAAUGAGCAAGUUGUAGAUUUGUUUACAAAAGGUUUUAGCACCAUGAAGUUUGAAGAGUUCUGUCAGAAACUCAAUAUGCAUCAAAGGAUGAAAAUUUGUGUUGAAAGGGAGUGUUAAAAGUUCAACAUCAAUUUCAUGGUCCAAUCCAACUACAUUAGUCAAAGUCCAAGUUCAAAGUUCAACAUCAAUUUCAUGGUCCAAUCCAACUACAUUAGUCGAAGUCCAAGUUCAAAGCACAAUCCAUGGAAAAUUCAAGAAUUAUGUGGAGAUUAGGAUAUAUUUCUAACCUAAAAAUAUCUAAUGGUGCUAAAAAAUCUAAUUCUAAAAAUCUCUUAGAUAUUUAGAGAAAUUUUGUAAAAUGUGGUUAUUAAAUUGUUGUAAGUUAAUAUUUGUGUGGUUUGUAUUAGUUUUAGUAUACUAUAAAUAUCCUUAAACUCUUUAUUGUAGGCUUCAAGUGAGGAGUGAAGAAUUAGAAGAGAGAAAGAAGACUAAGCCAUGAUUGUUGUAGUGUCUCUCUUGUAAAAUAUCAAUAAAGUCUAUUAAUUUAAUAAAAUUCUUUUAUUCUCUAAAUAGCUUCAGUCUUGUGCAUUUUAAUCUCCUCUGUUUUCAAUAUUGUAGCUAUCUGAUUAUACCACUUAUAUUAGUAAUUCAAAAAAAUAAAAAUACAGUACUAAAAGUUGAUGGUAUAACUAAAAUCACGUAUGCAACCUUUAUUAUAAUAAGCUCAUCUUUCUCGAAGAAAUUAAUGAUCAUUUUGGUCGUUAUCUUCAUAGGAUAAUCAACCAAUUCUUUUAUACUACUAAAUUAACUUCGUACGAAUUUCCACCCAAAAUCAGAACUUAAAGAAAUUGAACUGCGUAACUUGUUGGAGCCUAUAAAGUAGAAACCAAAUAAUAAAAAAAAAAAUAUUAGUCAUAAACACCUUAGACAUUCAAGCAAAUCCAAGAAUGCGUUUGCUAACGAUUUUAUAAUAACUAAGUUAAUUAAUUAACUAUAUAAUAUUAAACAAUAUUUAAGCUUUGACUAUCAAUACACGGCUUUUACUAUGCCACUUUGACCUGAUGACCUAAAUUUCUAUUCACUUUGCGUUUCAUUAUUUCUAUUCUAGUUCGUACUACAUUAUUCGUUUGGUUCAUUUCUUGCAAACUUUAAUAUAUUUUCCAAAGUUGAAAUUAAUUACUAGCUAAAAAGUUGUUCAUGAAUACUUACCAUCCUGUUCCACCACUUCUCCAAGUUUGUUUUGAUCAGCUAUUAUUGUAAUGAUAAUUUUAAUCUUAUGAUGGCUUUUCUCGGUACCCUUUUUAGUAAAUAUCCUUGGUAUCGAAAUGUUCUUAGUUUCCUGCCAAUGUCGUGGCCAUCAGCAACUGUUACUUCAAAUGAAAAACAGUCUCAGAUUUUAUUCAACUUCUACUAAACUGAUCUAGUGGAAUCAAAGAAGAGAUUUUAGUGAUUGGAACAAUGUACAUUGUGACAAGGCUGGUCAUGUUAUUGGUCUUGACUUGAGCAUGCUAUCAAUCUCUGGCGGAAUUGAGAAUGCUACCGAUCUUUAAGUCUUCAAUACCUGCGGAGCUUAAAUUUGGCUUCCAAUCAGUUGUAUGAAGUUCAAGUGCCACCCAGAUUGGGCAAUCUCACAAAUUUGACUUACUCAAGCUAGCUUCGCGGGGCAAAUUCCUAUCGAGAUUUCAAGCAUGACAAGGUUGGUUACUCUUGAUUUAUCAACUCCUCAUUUCGAAGGACCUUUCUGCUUGAAAAUUGAGAACCCAAAUUUGAGCUCAUUUCGAACGAAUGUUACAUUGCUUUGAGAACUCUGUCUUGAUGGUGUAAGCAUAUCAGCCCACGGAAAUGCAUGGUAUCAAUCUUUGUCAUCAUCCUUGCCUAAACUACAAGUUUUUAGCUUGGCCCAGUAUUUUCUGUCAGGCCCUAUCCAUCCUUCCUUGGCAAACCUUCAGUCACUCUCUGAAAUUUAUUUAGAUAACAUCAAUCUAUCAUCUACAAUUCCAGAGUUCUUGGCUGAUUUCUCAAAUUUAACUUCCUUUAUCUCAGCAAGUGUGGGUUGUACGGGAAGUUUCUUGAAAAAAAAUUCCAAGUACCAAUACUUAGACUAUUGACUAGUCAUAUAACAAAUUACUUCAAGAUUAUUUGCUGGAUUUUCAUCAGAAUCUCUCUCUUCGGUGACCCACUUCGAUUGCCAAUGUCACCUAACUAGUUUUCAUGGACUUUUCAAAUAAUAUUUUCUCUGGUGCCAUCCCAUAUCUUCAUAUAUUAAAAAAUCUCACCCAUCUAGACCUCUCUAAUAAUCUUUUGACUGGAGUGAUCAUCCACUGCUUGGGAGCAGCUUUUGAAUCUAGUGUUUGUUGACUUGAGCAAUAAUUCCCUUAAUGGAAACAUCUCGCUGUUUUUGUUUGAACUCUCGAUACUGCAGAGGCUUCAACUUGCUGACAACCAAUUUGAUGGCCAAAUCCCCAAAUUUUCAAAUGCAUCGACUUCUGCAAUAGAUACUCUUAAUCUAAUAGGCAACAAAUUAUAUAGGCCUUUCCCUAUUUGGGUCUUUGAACUCAAAAACCUUCAUUCCCACGAUCUUUCUUUUAACAGUUUCAAUGGAACAGUGCAGCCAGACAAGAUUCUCUAUCCUAUCAACCUUGAAGUCCUAGCCCUUUCAUACAAUAGCUUGAGUGAACGCCGGCAAUGGAAAUCCUGUCCUUACUCCCUUGAUUAAGUAUUUGAGUUUGGCUUAUUGCAUGAUGAGGGAGAUUCCUGAUCUGGGGAGGCAAUUCCAUUUGUUUCAUUUGGACCUUUCAAAUAACCAAAUUUCAGGGAACAUUCCAAGGUUGAUUUGGAGUGUUAAUGCCUAUCUUGGCUAUCUAAAUCUUUCACCCAAUCUCCUGCCUUGUUUCCAAGAACCUUAUUAUAUAAAUCAAGUUGGCAUCUUAGAUCUACACUCCAACCAACUUUAAAGUAACAUCCAUAAUCACUUACAGAUACCAUGUGCUUACUCUGUUGAUUAUUCCUACAAUAAUUUCACUUCUUCCAUCCCAGCUCACAUUGGUAAUUUCUUCUCCUUCUGUCUUCUUUUCUGCUACAAACAAUAGCCUCACAUGAGUCAUCCCUGAAUCUUUGUGUAAUGCAUCAUCUCUUAAAGUUCUUAACCUGUCAAACAACAAUUCUGAGUGGCCCAAUUCCAAUGUGUUUAAUAAAAAAUAGGAACUAAAUUUAAGGAGAUCCAACACCAAUUUCAUUAUCCAAUCCAAGUACAUUAGUCCAAGCUCAAGAUCAAAGCCUAAUCCAUGGAAGUUUCAAGAUUUGUUUAAAGAUUUGGGAUAUUUCUAAUCUAAAAAUAUCUAACAAUGCUAGGAAUAUUGGACUCUGGAAAUCUCUUGAAUAUUUAGAGAUAUUUUACAAAAUGUAGCAACCAAAUUUUUGUAAUUUAAUAUUGGUGUGGUUUAUAUUAGCUUUACAUUAUAAUAAAUACCCUUAAACCUUUGUUGUAAACAUCAAGUGAGGAGUGAAGAAUUAGAAGAAAGAAAGAAGAGUGAGCAUUGAGUAUUGUAGUGUCUCUCUUUUGUAAAAUAUCAAUAAAGUCCUUCAAUUUAGUAAAAUUAUUAUGCUGCCCAAAUAGUUUUAGUUUUGAACAGUUUAGUCCUCCUCUGAUUUUCAACAAUUGGUAUUAGACUCUCAUUUACAACCUAAGUUUAGUCUAAGUUGAAAUGUUACAACCUAUGGAUUUUCCAAACUUGAAACUCUUAUUUACAGUUUAUUACCAUAUAGUUUACUCAACUUUAGAUUGAAUCUACUUCUCUUGAAAAAUUGAUGUCCCUCUUGAUCCACCAUCCUCAAGGCAUUUUGCAAAGUGAUCAAUAACAAUUCAUCAAUUUCUAGCGAUCCAAGAUCCACAUAAACUCUCCAUAGAUAUAAAAAGAAUAUAAGUAAACAAAUCAACACAAUAUUAUACGCCAAAUUCAAAUUCUUUAGAGAGGAGGCCGAAUUUUGCUUCUCUACUUUAUGCUAUGUGUUUGCGUACCUUUAAUUGUGAAAUGCCUCUUUUUGUAUAGGCACUAGGAUUUCACAAAAAUAGCAAGCCUUAAAAGACUUGGAUUCUUUCUAAAUAAGAGUUUUUUUCCUCUUAUAAUUCCUAUGAAUCUGAAUAGGAAUAAAUCUAAUUUUCUUGCCUUUCUUGUCUCCCAAGAAAUAUCUAGAGUAUUUAAUAAACUUCUUGUUUGAACCAACUUCUUACUCUAAAUAGAUCUCAUGCGCCAAUUAUAGAAUUCAAUCAUUAAUUGACUUACUAAAUUAGACAUCUAAUUAAAUUAAGAAACAAAUAUUCCUAAUAAAUUGGAAUUUAACUAAAUUAUGGAAUUACUAAAUUAAUCCCUAUUACAAGAUAUGCAAUAAAUAAAAUUUCAAUUUAACUAGACUUGCCAUUAGAUGCCAACUCUAUAAACAAUGGACUUAACAAAGAGAAUUAUUGUUCAUUUUUUAGGCCUAAUUUUAAGAGCAUUGUUACAGUUGUCUAAGGUUGGCCAACUCAAUCAACCAUUGAGGAAUUUAAAAAACUUGCUUGCCGAUCAAGAAGCGAAAUAUAAGUAAAUGAGUGGGCCUUAGUAAAGAAUGACGAGGAAGUGUUCUUCACCGAUAAGAAAAGAUAUCAAUUCAGAUGACAUAGUGGUAGAAGAUCUAAAGGAGAUAUUGAUAAGUCAAGAGAUCAUAAAAAAGAAGGUAGCUCACAGAUAGGGGGAGCAAGCCAAUAUAAGCCAAAGAAAAAGUUCGAAGGGAAUUGCUACAAUUACGUAGAGAGGAGCCAUAUGGUGAAAGAUUGUUGAUCUAAGAAAAAGUCCGAGGAAAGUAAUGUCACUACUUCCAAUCAGAAGAAGGAUAAUGAAAAUUAAUAGAAAGCCAAAGCAUCAAUCGCCAUUAAAGAAGACAAGCUAGCUUUCGCAGUUACAAUACUCAACCAAAUUAACUAUGGAAGUGAUUGGAUCAUUGACUUAAAGUAUUCAAAUCACAUGACUGAUGAUGGAAAGAAGCUAGAAGAAAUGACCAAGUGAAGGACAAAAUUUGUCCAUGAGGUUCCUAAAAACGCAACUUUUGUGCAGUAAAAUUAAAACGGAUGGUGAAAUCUCUAGAAACCUCGAAUCGACUUCAUUCAAAAACGAAAAUCAAGAGGAAAGAUUAAAGUUUAUUUACCUUACUUGUAGUUUCAGAAACGACCUUGUGAGGUAGGAGAAAAUGAUUGAAAACAGCAAGGUACGAACACUGUACAGGAAAUAGACCACUGCACGAACAGCUUCUGUUUUAGCACGAUUUGAGAUCCUUAAAGCACCCUAAUUAUGAUGCCUCUAAUAGUUCCACACUUAGAAAUGUUCUAGGAGUUCAUAUGAUUUGGAAUCACCAAAUUUCAUUUUGAAAUGAGAGAGAUAAUGAAGAAACAUGAAUGCUAGUUCAUAAUCAUUCAUUCCACCAAAUAAAGCCACCAUUAUCUUUUCAAUAAUGGCACCAAACAUUAUCGUGAGCUAGACCCACCCACUAAACCAUUCUUUAUUAAAUGUGAUCUUAUUACUUCAAUAAUUUAUUUAAUCAAAUUAAUUUUAAAUAAAUAAAUAGCUAAAUUAAUUAAUUUUAUCUUUAAUUAAUUAAGCCCAUUUUGAUCAAAUUAAAUGGUUAAUUGUGGGCGUCUUUUGUGACACAUUCUUACGUCUUUUCCUAAUCCUUAUUAAGUCCAAUAAAAACCCAAAAUUCUAAACCCAAAAUUGGUCUAGAAGUCCAUAAACAUUUAUGAACCGAAAUAUGUCCAAUAUGGUCAUUUUACAUGCUCAAUCUUAUGCAUAAUGUUUAAUUGAGGAUUUAUGAAAUUUAUUUUGUUCCUUAAACUAUUUAUGGAACUUCUAAAUUUCUAUCUUAAAUCAUAUUUAAGAUAUAUUUAUAUAUAUUCAUUCUUAAUGAAUUAUAAUAUAAAUAUCGAUUUUCCUAAAAUUAGGAAAUUUAAAUUCUCAUUUUCUAAUAACUUCUUUUUCAUUUCUAUUAGGUGUGUGACCUUUUAGAUUCUUUAUUAUAAGGUAGUAGAAUCAUUUUAAUGAUAACUCUUUAUUCAUUAAAUGAUGCUAAACUCUUUAGUCAUCAAUUAGAACUUUUUUAAUGACCUUAAGAUGCAUUGCUAAUACCCUUUACCAAUAAUGAUCUUAAGGUUUCUAUAAGUCAUGAGUGACACCUAACAAUAUUUCACAACAACCCAAAUAACAAGAAUUGUUGUUAGAACUUAUUCCAUUGUAUCUCUAUGUCUUGGUCUCUUCAUCAUCCAUGUCCAGAGAAAAGAACGGCUUAUGGUUUACUGUGUUAACCAUUUAUGCUUUAUCUGAAAAAAAUCUAAAUGAACUUGGCAUGAAAAUAUAAUUUAAACUCUUUCAAACAUAUUUCACCUUGGCCAAGGAUUUCUCAUGCCAAUUCAUAUUAUCUCACAUGGACAUCUUUUUUGUAUAUUACAAAGUGAUGAAUUUCAUAUUGGCCAUAUACUUGUCUCUAUACAUAGCCAACCAUGACAGCUAUUGUUAGAUCUCUUCUUUGAUUAAGAAUCAAUCCUUAUGAUUUCACAUAUCAGAGAUGUCUAUGUAUAAGACAUAUGUGAUGCCUCAGGUCUAAAGACCAUUACUAAACAUAGUGUCUAUCACAAUAUAUAAUAAUAAGUCAUUAACACUCAAAACCAUAUGGCUUAUUAUAUUUGGUCAAGUUCAGUAAACUCGCUCUCGCAACAAGUACUUAUGUGUUUGACUUGACAUCUCGUGUCAAUGAUAUGAAACUCACAAUCCAUUUUAGUAUCACAUACUAUAAAUAAGUCAUAACACAUACUAGUGUUAAUUAAUAGGGAUUUAUGACGUCCGAUCAUAAAUCCACCACUAGGAACGAUUUUAGAAGUAUAGUAUAAAAGAUACACAUUUCAUAUUUUCGACAAAUUCGAGAAUGUGUUCUUUAACUAUUUUCCUUCUUAAAUUAUAUUCAUUAAAUUAAUUUAUGAAUGUUGAUAACUUUUCCAUUUUAUAAAUAUCAAAAUGCUAAUAAAAUACAAUAAUUCCCUAAAAGCAAACACCAUUCGAUUGGCCUUUAGGGCAUAUCACUAACACUAAGUACAAGGAGGUGGCAUGGUAGUAACAACAAAUAACUCACAACUGCUAAUAACUUAUGUUGGUACUACCGUUCUUACACCUUAAGAUGGUCCAUACAAUUCAUUACUUCAAAAUGUGCAUUAUGUCCCAGGUUUGAAGAAAAUUACUCUCAGUAUCACAACAACAUCAUCAAGCCACUAUGUAUUGUAUAGUUUUUAAGCUAUGAAGGUGUAUCAAGAUGUAAAUAUCUCAGGGGCACCUAUUAGAAAAAGAUGAAGAUUAAAGUUAGUCUAUCUAUUAUCAAUAGAGUCUGCUUAUGUAGAUAAGACUCCAAAGAAUAAGACAGUAGAUUUAUGCCAUGCUCGAUUGGGACAUAUUAUUUGUCACAAGUUGAAAAUGAUGAUGAACAAGUUAAUACUUAGACGUUUAUCUCAACUUGAUGUGAGAAUAGACACGAUGUGUGUAGGAUGUCAAUAUGACAAGGCUCAGUAACUCCUAUAUAAUGAGUUGUAGUUCAGAAUAAAAAAACCCAUUAGAGUUGGUAUACUUUGACAUGUUUGGGCCUAUCAAGCAACCUUCUAUUAGUGACAUUUGAUACAUGGUUACAUUUAUCAAUGACUUUUCUAGGUAUGUCUGAGUCUUUUUUAUGAAAGAAAAAUUUCACAUUUUUUCAAAAUUUAAGGAAUUCAGAGACAUAGCCGAAGGAAAAGUAAGAAGGAAUGUCUAUUAUCUAUGAACAGACAACAAAAGAUAGUAUACAUCACAUGAUUUCUCCCAAUAUCUUAAAAACUAUAAGAUACGCCAUUAGUUCACUUGUGCCAAUACAUCACAAGAAAGCAAUGUAACAGAACAAAAGAACUAGAUCUAAAAGAGAUCUAUUAGUGUGUGAUACAUGUGAAGAAUAUACUAGGAAAGUUUUGAGUCGAGGCUAUGAAGAUAAUAGCUCAUUAAUCAAUAGAAUUUCUCAAUCAAAACUAGGGUUCAUAUCACCUUAUGAGAAACUAUGGAAUGUGAAACCUACAGUGAGCCACUUUUGUGUAUCUGGCUUUGUGUGCAAUGUCUUCAAGCCAAGCCACUUACAAAGUAAAUUUAAAAAGAAAGUGAUUAUAUCUUUGUUAGGUAUGAUAGCCAGAGGAAAGGAUAAAAGUGUUUUGAUCCUACUAAUAGAGGAUGUUACACAAUACGAAAUGUAGUGUUUGACGAAGCAUUUUUAUGGUGCUCUUCAAGAAAAGAAGUGCUAGCAUAUUCAAAAGAAAUUGAAGAUCAAAUGAAGAACAAUUACCAAAAUUAACUUGAACCAGCAAGAAUCUAAAGAUUCUGAUAAUCCAAGGGAUGAUGAUAUUGAGCAUGAUAAGGUACAAAAUCAUUGGAAGAUACGUCUUCACGAAAGCCCUAUUGAAGACGAAGAACCAAGUGAACUAGAAUUAGAAGCUCCUGAACCUCAACUUCGAAAAAAAGAAAAGAAAUCUAAAUGUCAAGUACGUUAAUGCAGUAGAUACAGAAGAAUAAAUAAUAAAAAAUUGAGACAUUUGAAGAAGUAACAAAGAAUUCUCAUUGGAUGAAGGCAAUUGCAGAAGAAAUCACUACACUUAAGCAAAAUCAGACCUGGGAUCUGGUUCUGAAAUCAAAUUAUGCAAAACCAAUAGCUUGCAAAUGGGUGUACAUAUGAAGCGCCCAAAUAGUUCAGUUGAAAGAUACAAAGCUUGGUUAGUAGCUUGAGUAGUUGAAAGAUACAAAGCUCAGUUGGUAGCUCGAGUUUUCUCACAACUAUACAAGAUAGACUAUGAUGAAACGUUUAAUCUGAUGGCAAAUCUCACGACAGUAAGAGCCUUACUUGGAUGUUUAGCCAGCAAGAAAUGAAAAUUGUGGCAAACGGAUGUAAAAACUGCCUACACAGAAAAUUAGAUCAAGAGAUCUAUAUGAAUCAACCUAAAAGAUUUGAUGAUAAAGCUCAUCCAGAGUAUGUGUGUAAGCUGAGAAAGAUAUUUUACUAUUUAAAGUAAGCACUAAAGGCAUGAUAUGGUAAGAUUGCUGAAUUUCCAACUCAGAGUUGUUAUUUAGUAGCACAUGCAGGUUUUAGCUUUUUUGCGAAAGCUAGUGAAAGAAAGUUAGCAAUUAUACUAGUGUAUAUAGAUGAUUUGAUUCUUACUAGUGACAAUGAAGAAGAGAUUCAGCGAACAAGAGAUAAUUUAUUAGUUUGCUUUUAGAUGAAAGAGUUUGGUCAGCUUAAGCACUUCCUUACUCUAGAGGUUGAUCGAACAUGACAAGUUAUAUUUUUUUGCCAGUAGAAAUAUGCCAAAAACUUGCUGAAAAUGUUUAAAAUGUUGGAAUGCAAGCCAAUCUCAACUCCAAUGGAAGUUAAUGCAAAAUUGGCGCACAUAAAGGCAAAGAUUAUUAAAUAGAAUAAUCUAUUGAUAAUUAAUAGGUAGUUUAAUCUACCUAAUGCUGACUUAACAAGACAUUUCAUAUGCAAUGGGUGUAAUGAGUCAAUACAUGAAAAAUUCAAAGAAGCCUCACUUGGAAGUAAUUUAAUAAAUACUAAGAUACGUGAAAAGUACAAUUGACUAUGGUCUAUCGUAUAAGAAAGGAGAAAGUUACAACCUAACUAGCUAUUUUGACAUUGACCAUGCCGAAGAUCAUGAUACAAGAAAGAUCAACUACUAGGUAUAUUUUCAGAAUUGGGUGUGGUGUAGUUUCUUGGUGUAGUAAGAGACAACCAACUGUAUCAUUAUUAACCACAGAUGCGAAGUAUAGAGAAGUGACAAUGGCAACUUAAGAAAGCACUUGGUUGAUGCAGUUGAUGAAAGAUCUAUAUAAAUGAGUAGAUUAAGUUACGGAUUUGUUUAUAAAAAAUCUUAAAACUAAAAAGUUUGAAGAGUUCUAUUCGAAACUCAAUAUGGAUCAAAUGAUGAAAAUUGGUGUUGAGAGAGAGUGUUAAAAGUCCAACACCAAUUUCAUAAUCUAAUCCAAUUAUAUUUUUCCAAGCCCAAGUUCAAAGUUCAAUCCAUGGAAGACUCAAAAAUUGUGUAGAGAAUGAGAGAUAUUUCUAAUCAAAAAAUAUCUAAUGAAGGUAAAAAUAUUUUAAGUCUAGAUAUCUCUGAAAUAUUUAGAGAUGUUUGUAAAAUGUGGUUGUCAUAUUUUUGUAAUUUAAUAUUUGUGUAAUUUGUAUUAGUUCUAAUUUACUAUAAAUACCCCUAGCUCUUUAUUUUAGGCGAGGAGUGAAAAAUUAGAAGAGAGAAAAAAGAGUGAAGCAUGAAUUGUAAAAUAUCAAUAAAAUCCUUUAAUUUAGUAAAAAUUUUAUUAUCUAAAUAAUUUUAAUUUUCAGCAAUUUAGUCCUCCUCAGUUUUGAACUUUUUUUUUUAAUUGUCGACAGAUUUGACCCGGUUGUUGAUCAUCAGGCUUACAACAACAACACAAAAAAAUAACAAAUAAAAAAAUGGAAAGAACGUUCAGACUGUAGAGUGAAAAAAAUUGUUUUGGUCAAUAUAAGUACUACCAAUUUGAGAUAACUUAUAGAGAGAACAAGCUAGGUCACUUCCAAUUGAUGAGAAUUUAAUAGAAGAUUCUGAAAUGUAUAGAAGAUAAUCAGAAAUAACAAGAAAGUAGAAUAUAUACACACACACACACUCUAUACAAUCAAGUAAAGUGUAUACAUGCAACAGCACAUCGUUUGUUUAUUUUUUUAUCGAUCAAAUUGCAUGAGUUUUAACUAGAUGACAAUAGGAUUUGUAGAGGUAGAAACGAUAUCCCAAGGCUCAAUUACUUCACUUCUCACAUACUCAACUCUUCAUAACAUUUCUGAAUAUUAUCAUCAUCAUCUUGUAAAUUGCAAGCUCUUAUUCUUUCCAAUUCCAUUGCAACUUCCUUCAUGGUAGGUCUGCUCCUCCCAUUUGAAUUCAAGCAUCUUUUCGCGACGUCAGAAACUUCCAUAAUCUCUUCUGUCUUUCCUGAUUUUCUCACUUGAUCGUCAAGAAUGUCAAACAAACAAUUCUCCUCUAUACAUUCCACAAAAUAUGUUGCCAAAUUUCGACCCUCAUUUGCCCAAAUAUAAGAUAUUGGUUUUUGUCCCGUUAAAAGCUCAACAAGCACAACUCCAAAGCUAUAGACAUCACUUUUAUCAGUGAAUUGGCUUGAAUGAAAGUACUCAGGAUCCAAGUAUCCAAAAGUUCCUUGUACUUUGGUGCUCACAUGAGUUUGAUCAAUGGCAAUAGAUCUUGAAGUUCCAAAAUCAGCUAUCUUUGCUCUAUAUUUUUCAUCCAAGAGUAUGUUUGUUGACUUGAUGUCACGAUGGUAAAUGGGUAAGUAAGCCGAAGAAUGCAAGUAAGCAAGAGCUUCAGAAACUUCUGUAGCAAUCCGUAAACGCAUUUCCCAUGUCAGUGAAAGCUCUUCAGAAGGAUCAUGAAGAUACUGAAAAAGGGUUCCAUUGGGAAUGAACUCAUAUACAAGUAAAGGAACCUCAACUUCUAAGCAAGAUCCCAAAAGCUUAACCACAUUUCUGUGGCUAAUUUGCGAAAGAAUUACAACCUCGUUAAUGAAUUCUUCAAGCUUUGAUUCAUCAACUACUUUGGAUUUCUUCACUGCAAUGAUUCUUCCAUCUGCCAACAUUCCUUUGUAAACCGUACCUUGGCCUCCCUGGCCAAGAAUUCUGUUCACAUUGAAAUGGUCAGUGGCCUUGUCUAAUUCCUUGGAGUUGAAUAUUUUGCAUCUAUCGAUGCUACCAUCAAGUGAAUUCAACUGUUGUUCUAAAAGUAAGCCACCAUUCUUUUUAAAAUUCUCCUCUUUCUGCUUGAUUCUUCUUCUUAUUAUGAUGCACAGCCACAAUGCUCCAAUAGAAAGUAACAAACCUCCGAGACCUGUGCCAAUUCCUACCGUAUCAUUAUUUUUAAUUAAUUAUUAGGAAUUGUUUCAUUCUCUAAUAUUGAGCCUGAUCGAAACCAUUUUAUUAUUGUUAUUGAUGCUUCAAAAAUAAGUUUUAAGAAGAAAGAAAUCAUAAUAAAAGUAAAUCAUAUAUCAUAUAUCAAUUAUGAUAGAGUUGCAACCACUUUUAUACAAACUAGUAUAUACGAACAAAUCGGAUGAAAAGUAAUGUUUGUAUAUGAUUUGGAUAUGGCCUGUCAAAAUUGGGCCUGAACUUUUAAAGCAUUAAGAUUUUCUGAACCAAUAUUGGGCUUGGUAAAGCCCGGCCCGACUCAUCUUCCAUCCCAUAGGCUGUACUGCUGUGGUUGAAAAUCUCCUCAGGUCUCUCUACGUGUUACGUCGUUAGUCAAGAUAUUAAUUCUUUAUAAUUUUAUAAGCCAUUAAACACCCUAUGAUUUGCAUUAUAAAAAUAUUAUCUAAGGGGGUAGCCAUGAAGUUUGUAAGGUUUCGAACUUGUACAAAAGAUUACAUUUUUCCAGCAAUACUUGAAAACUUUAGCAGAAGAAUUAAAACCUCUUUACAUAAAAACAGUAACAUAAAGAUGCAAAUCUUUAACAUGAAAUUUGAAACUAUCUGUUAAUAAUGGCCAUGUUUAGAAAAUUUUUUAAUAAGGGUCUCCGCAGUUUUAUCAGAAUGGAGGAAUGUUAUUAUACUAUAUGGUGUUUAUUACACUAUUGUAUAUUAUGUAGUGUAGUAGUAUUUUCGCACUUUAUUAAAGUGUAGAAAUCCUCACCAGAUAACAACUAAAUGAAUGCAAAAUUUGAUUAUAAAAAUAUACCCAACCAAGGCAUACCUAAGAUGAUCGUGUAAACCUUUGGUCUUUUGGGAUUAACGCAACGGUAGCCUCCUUCAUAGUUUUCACAACGCAGAUCUCCACUGCAAUUGGCAGUUCCAUCCCUACACUCAUCAAUAUCUGUCACGAAAAAGAAGACCCAAAUGACAAUAGGUAAAUAUCUAUACACCUAACAAGAAAUUUAAUUGGGCAUCAUUUAAUAUUGCUUUCUGGCACAACGCUAAAGUACAACAUUUGAUUAAUUAACACUUGCAACUCUAGUUUCAUGUUAAGAUGUUUUUACCUGUCAAUGAAAAACUUAUAUUAAUUUUACUAAUUUUGUUUAAAAUAUUAUUUAAAAUUCAUAUUUAAUUAUUUAAUAAUGUCGACUUUUAUUUUAUAGAUAUGACUUUCAUUUCACAACAAUCAUGGCUUGAAAGCUAAAACACCGACGUGGGCCUUAAUUGACAAAAAGUAAGCCUACUUUAAGAAUCCAAGCCAGUCACAAGCUGGCUCUAGUAUCAUUCAUAACAUUUUAUACCAAAAUAUACUUAAGGAGCCCAAGCUUAGUUAAUUAAGUUACAAUAUAAUUUUAUUAAGAAAUUUACCUUGACAUCCGUGGAGGAAAUAGGGAUUCCCAUGGUAUUUUUCCUUGCAUGAACAUCUAAAAAGCCCACCUUCAUCACUUUCACAAUGAGAAGUUGAUGUAAAUUUCGGAGAUUCAUCCCUUUCUAACUUGCCAAAGGAUGAAUUGGGAAUCCUCCAAUCCAGUAUAACAGGUACUUGAUUCCAAUCUUGAACACCUUCAGCACUCUUAAAUUUGCUUUCAAACCAUUCUUUUUCUACCAUAAAUGCAUAUUUGCAUUUCCCCUCCUCCUGGCUGCUGCUACUUGCUGCAUUGUUUAUGCUGCUUAUAGAAAUAUUAAAACUUUUGAGAGCCCAAGGGACCCCUGCUUUGCAACACGCAAUUCCAUUGCAGCUAUCAUCAUCUGUCUUGUUUCUUGGAUCACAAAUAGAGAAGCAACCACCAAGAAUGAAGUCACGAUCAGCUGAUGACAUUGAGGCAAGGUUGUUGCAGCCGAUGCCGGAGAAUAUAUUGUCAUAAUAUGAGAAGUAAAAAGGGAGCUUCUCCAGGUUUACAAAACUUGCUUCUGUAGUUUUAUCCUGACAAGAUCUGAUCACUGAUUGAUUUACUCUCAUUGUGCUCUUUUCAAGUAAGAAUUCAAGCACUUCCAGGUUGAUGCUUCUCAGGAUUGGCUUA